AGUAAACGCGUGUCAUCAGGGGAAAUUUCUCAUUUUUCUCCCCACAUUCUCCUCCAUUUUCCAAAAAAAGAAAACACAAAAACAAACAAAAUCUAGCAGAGAGUGGGGUUUUUCUGGUGAUCUUCGCCUUUUCCUUCAGUAAAAACAUGAUUUAAAAAUGAAAAUUGGUGAGCUUUUUGAGCUACACUUACAUAUGUUCAUUCAAUUGGGAAUUAUUUGGAGGAAAUAGAUUUUCACUCAAUUAAUCAAGGUAGUUCUUAUUAAUUGGUGGGUUUGUGAAGCAAGAUUUGAGGUGUGUUGGUAAAAUUGUAUGGGAAAGACAACGAACUUGUUGCUGGUGCACAGGAAUCAGCUUCUUCUCGUCGUAUGCCACCAAGAUCUGGUUGUGUCAACCUUAGCUGAAAUUCUGUGGGAACAGCUAAAGACCAGACGUAGGUCUUCUACUGGGAGCAUAUUUAGAUGGAACUGAUGCAAAGGAAAAUGAUUGUUUUUUCUGUGUUGUUAUUCACAAUAUUGAUGGACCUGAUGGUUGCAUGACAGUGCACCCGUUAAAAUGUUUGUGUUGUUGCAUCUAUUGAUAACUAUGUAAGAAUUCGCUUCACAUCACCAUGUAUCUGAUUGCAUAUCCUAUAUGCAAGUCAUUGUUCUCUAAUUCAUUUUGUUGCUAUAA